ensembl:lncRNA
ACAUAAGUCCUAUUAUGUCCUUUUUGUUUUUGCUACACCUAAUUGAACCAUUUGCCUUGAGUUUCUGUAUAAUUACCAAUUUCCAUGAGUUUACCAAGCAAAUAUAGUGCUUUCUGAAAGUCUUUAAAAAUACCACAGUCCAGUUUUACAUCCUCCUUUCCCUCAUGUUUAUUCAACAGAAAGUUGCACUUGUCAAGCUUGUGACGAUGGGCUGCUGUCUGAGCAGGGGCUCCUUUCACUUCCACUGAGCGACUACAGGGAUUCAUCAAUGCAUUGCCUACACUACGGAGCCUCUCUCACCUUCUUCUCACACCCUCUGCUCUGAAAGGCAAAAUCUAGCUCAAUACUUACUAGCUAUCCAGAGGCUAUUUAUCCUGGAAACCCUUGCUAAAACAAGCACGAUCUCUUUCUUGCGCACAUGCAUGCACUCCCUCAUUCUCUCCAAAGGCUGCAAGCAUUAGCGGAGACCUAGCCCCUUGGGAGAGGUUUUCCUGUGAUGACAAGUAUCUCACUCCCCGGAGGAGAUCAGCAGCUACAUAUAAUUGUUUUAAGUCGAGUGUAUCUAGUGUGCACAUCGGUCUCAUCAUGUCUGGAGCUGCUGUUGCAACAUCUGGCACAGUGCACCUUGUCAGCCACACGAGAGAUCAAGUCAGCUGCAGUACAGAACCCUUGCGUGUCUUCAGCCUUUGGGGGGCAUAAACGUUAUCCAUCAAGAUGGCACAACCUGUCUAGUCAUCCAACUGAUCUCUUGAUUCCCCACCAAGGUGACAGAUUCGAGUUCACCCCAGAGGCCAUACAGUCUCCUGAGCUUUCCUUCACCUUCCCAGAGGACUUCUGUGCAUGCAAAGCAACAGCCUUAGUAGCAACUCUCCCUGUAUCCUCAGUCCCUGGUAUCACCUUCAAAAUUACUGACAGCCAAGUCUCCUCUAUCAAUAGAAUCCCAGACAUCAGCAUAAACCAGGUGCAAAAGAAGGAAAUAACAUUCCAACUCAGAUAUGCAAUCUGAAUUCCUAAAAUGCAAAGGGUUGCAUGUAUGGUGUAAUGCAAGCCCUGGGAGGUAGUGUUUGCCUGUAGUUCGACUUUUCGCGCAGAUAAGGAGGGAGGAAGCAUAUCUCCAAGUUAUGAGCUGAGCUGGUUUCCCCUCUUCAGCUGAGCCAGGCUGCUCAUAUGUCAGAGUAACUGGUCAGGAGCUUAAACAACAAAAGGAGAGACUGGAGCUGGUGUGACUGCGUGGCUGGACAUUUUGGGUGGGCUAUGGCCAUGGAAUGCAAAGGCAUUUCUGCUGAGAGAGAGAGAUGACAUGUUAAGCUUUGUAGACCAAACGACGUCAGACGCUGUGAGAUCUGAUAAUCACUUAAUUAAUACAGUAGUCUUUUUCUAAGUAUACAAAAAGCCUGUCACGAAAAGGGCAGUGGUUCAAGCUGUGCUUCAAGUGCUGAGCUUCCCAGGUGAAGGACGUGAGCAAAGCCCCAGGCAGCUCUUGUACUUCCUGCUGGAAAAGGCCACUGCGCAAAGAGGCUGUCUCACAAGAUCUCCAAGGACCUUGCCCACCGCCCAUCUCCUGUGAGGAGAUGCAGCAGGGCUGAGCCAUGUGAGAGCCCUGACCUGUGCAAACCCGCCCACAGCAGAGGACUCUUGGCAAAGGAUUCAGGGAGAGCCGGGGCGAGGAGGAUGCCUGCAGCAGGGUUCAUUCACUCUGUGCUCUUGCUCUGGUGUCCACCACUGGGUAGGACUGAUUUAUAGCCUAGCCUACAGCCUAAUGCUUGCACUUACACUGCUUGCAUGGGGUACUUUGUGUCACUGUUCAAGAGUACAUGACCAUUUCCCUCUACAGUGUAAGACAUUGUUUCCUUUGCAACCAGGGAUACCUAGGCUUUGCCCUGUAGAGAGCUCCAGCGCAUCUGUCUUACCUCUGUAAGAGGGGAUUUUAUGUGGGAAGGAAGAGGAUCUUGCUGACUUAAUCUCUGCCAAAGUUCUUGACAUCUGUCCUUGGAAACAGGGAGUGA